GCCUCCAGCACUUCCAGGUAAAGCACCCUAAUUACAAUUAUAAAUAAGGUGUACAUGUGUGUGCAUGUGUGUGUGCACAUACUGUACAUUCAAGAUAAUAGAAUCCUCCUGGAGAAAAGCAAUGUUUAACAAUGGGAUGCGUUAUCCCUUUGACUUGGACAUAACAAACAAACAACAACAAAAACCCUACUACUGUCUGAGGGUUGUGCAGUAGAGAGGCAGCAAACAGUUCCUGGUGCUCACACCACUCAGAUGCCCAGUCUCUUCUCUACUGUCUGCAUGUGGAUUAGAGGCGCGAUACUUCAAAUCCUGGUUCGGUCUCUCCUCCCUGCUCAGCGAGUUCCCAAGCCACAUCUCCAGAGAUCAGAUGACAAAAAAGCACCAUUAGAAAGACAACGUGCUUCCGGAUCCAUUCAACCUCAGCAAAGGAAAACCGAGCAUCCUUUCUUUAAAAUGUGUUAUUCGAUACACUGCUUUCCCGGCUCCCCCAGCAAUAAUUUUACUUUAUCAUUAAGAGCCCCGCAGGAAAUCCUGCCCAGGUGGGGCUGAGUGGGGUAAAGAAGGAAUGGAAAGAAGGAAAGAAGGAAGGGAGAGAGGAAGAAAAAAGAUAAACUUCACCGUUCAGCGGGGCUGGGCUGCAAGGCUGCUGAUUCAAGAUCACCAGCAGGAGGACAGUCGCGGCACGCAGGCUAUAGUGGGGCAUCUUCUGCUCCUGGCCGGUGGCUCCUGGCUCCCGGUCGGCAGCUGGCAACAGCCACUUGCUUUCGGACAGCACAGCGCAGCGCUCGCAGCCAGCGGGGCGCGCACCAGGACCGCGCGCGCGUAGCCGGGAGCCGUGGCUAGCACGUCUGCUUUUCGGGCUCCUGGCUCCCCGCGGCCGUUUUUAUGGAGCAACUCAACCCCAAACACAUGAUGUCAUCGUGCGGGGAGAAAAAGAACGCCCAGCCUACCGAAGGGCUCGGGCCGCAGGUCCGAGCUGUGUCCUCAACAGAUUGGAUGAUGCCUACCUACCAUGGUACUCAUUAACUUGCCCAGGCUGGCCUCAAACUUGCAAUCCUCCUGUCUAAGCCUCCCAAGUCACUGGGCCUACAGGCUGCUUGUUCUCACUCCACGAGGAGGGGCCCAGCUAGAGGAAGACCUGAGCAGAGGAUCCUAUAAAGCAGAGGAAACAAGACAAGGCCAUCAACUGCCCUGAUCUAAGGGCGAUGCAGCCUCUGUGUUUAUUCCUGCCUGUCAAUGCCAUAUCAGCUGGGAAGUUCAGGGCAGAAGAUUUGGUUACCCUGGGGUCAGUAAAGGAUCUUAAGGUGGAAUUCAGAGGACCCAAUGCCUUCCCCACCUUAAAAAAAAAAGAAAAGAAAAAAAAUUCCUCUAAUACUAAAACCUUGUCUGUUAUAUGUUUUGUUCAAGAAAAAAAAAAGUUACCCUAAGACUGGAAUGCCUCCAUUUUUACUGUACAUUAAUAAGGCAACAUUCAGUUGGAAAAUAUCAAAGCAACUUGGAACAGACAAAUCAGGGACAAGAAAGUCUCUCUGUGUUCAGGGGUUGGAGAGAGAGAGAGAGAGAGAGAGAGAGAGAGAAAUGAUGUUGAGGUCAGAUGUCCCUGCUGUCUGAGGAUGCAGUCCCUUCCUCUGAGGAUGCAGCCUCCCUCCCUGGGGAAGGCAGAACGAGGACUGCUUCAUGCAGGGGCAAGGUGAGCUCUGGGUGUGCGAUAUCAAAGACCCGAAUGAACAAAUCAGAUAUUGGGCUUCUAAGGUCCAGACUUUCCAAGAGAAAAUAAGCCCUGGCAUUUUCAGGAGAUCCAACAUGCAGACAUGGCAGGGAGUUAAGAGUUUUCUAAACCUAGCCGCCUCAAAGCAGUGAGCCAAACCUGUCAGUGAGAAAAUGAGGACGGAGUUUCAAAAAGAGAAGGGAAACUCAUUUAAACUAGCUACAGGCAAUCGUGUUUGAUGCUAGAUGUGUGCUUUCUAAGAAGUCUGUGCAUCCAUGCUAAAUAGGAGGAAAGUACUUGAUUCAGGGCUUCUCAAAGUUUCUAAUGAAGGACCUCUAAUGACAGAGCCCAGGACCUUGCACUGAGGAGCCUGGGGUUAUGGUCUCAAAGUUACCCUGAAAAAAUGGAUAAAUAAUUCUAAGUUUUGCAUUUUUUUUUCAAAGUGUAAGUAGUUGUGCAUUUGCUUCCAUUAAAAUCCUCAUUUGAUGAAAAGCUUAGGGUUGCAGAGUCAUUUGGGUCAUUAGGUGUGAAGCUUCUGCUUAGAAAGGGAAGUCUGAAGCAGGGAAGUGAGCCAAAUUCUGGCCAGAUAUGGUGACUGAUGAAUCGCCUAAAAGACUAGCUUCUGUCAGGACACAUGGGGACAGAAAUUGCUGGUGUCGGAUGUGAAAGUUUCUGCUUUUGAGCUGUAACUCAAAAGGCUUGUUUGCCUAAAGCCUCAGCCAGGUCUUGUACCCCUGCUUGCCUUGUCUGAGAAAUGCCCUAGAGUCAGAGAGGUCUGAGUCUACCCUUGUGGGAAAAGGGGAAGAAUUUUCUAGAAGCCCAGCAGUGACCAACAGGAAGGAAGAGACCAUCACCUGGCAAACAAGCUACACAUCACCUGGAAAUAGAAACCUGGCACCCAGAAUCCUGAGAAGGAGGCAAAGCUUUUAGAAUUAGGUGAGAUGGGAGAGUGGUGCAUGUUCUAGAGUUUGGAUCUUGAAUGUCCCCCAAAGACCCACUCAGUCUCCUAAAGUGGCACCACCAUGAAGUGGUGAAGUAUUUAGGAGGUGGGGCCUAGAGGAAGGAAGUUAGGUGGUUGGGGGCGUGCCUUUAAAGGAGUUAUUGGGACCUCAGUCUCUUCUUUCUUCCUCUUCCCAGCCACCAUGAGGAGAGCAGCUUCACUCUACCACAUGCUCCCUGCCAUGAAACCUUACCACAGUUCUGAAAGCAACAGAGCCAAGGGACUAUGGACUGAAAUCUCUGGUCAUGAGCCAAAAUAAACCUUUCCUCCUAUUAAGUUGAUUAUCUCAGGUAUUUUUGUUAAAGUGACAAAAAUCUGACUAACAUAUAUCAAGGCUGCCAUCAGUAAAUAGGGUGCUGUCAUGCAAACUACAAAAAGAGAGGGCCCCUCUGAGCACUCCUCCCCCCAGUACUACACCUGUUACUUGGCUGCUUUCAACACCCACUUGUCACCUUGCUUAUGUGCCUGCACAUAUUGCACAAAAUGUAAUUAUAGAACAGUACUGGUUGAAUGUUAAAGAAAAGGUUGAUCCUUAAGAGAACUUGUAAACACUUGGGUUCCAAAAAUAACAUUUCCCAUAAACCUAGUAAAAUUUGUGCUGUAGCUCAAGGACUCAGCAAGCUCCAGCCAGCAGACUAAAUCUAGCUUAGCACCUGGCUUCAUAUAUAAAGUUUUAUUGGUAUGCAGCUGUGCUCACUCACUUAGAUAUUGUUGUGGCUGCUUUCCCACUGCCAUGGCCAUGGUGCAUAUAGGUGCUACAGAAACCAUCAAACCUGCAAAGGCUAAGAUUUUUAGCUUCUGUCCCCUUAUAAAAAGUUUGCCAGGGGCUGGAAUUGUGGCUCAGCGGUAGAGCACUCGCCUAGGACUGCAGGACCCGGGUUUGAUUCUCAGCACCACAAAAAAAUAAAGGCAUUGUAUUGUGUCCAUCUACAAAAAAAAAAGAUUCAUUUUCUCUCUCUGUGGCUUUUGCAUACCUGUUGGCCCACUGCUGAGUGCCUCUAGAAAAUAAAAGAGCAAUAAUCCAGUUUGAAAAGCCCAGUCUCUACCUAUUAUAUAUAGAGGGCCUAUCCUCCUCCAGUCUGACCCCAUUUUUAGUUACAUCUGCAAACAAAUCACAUCUUACUAAAACUAUUCUUAAGAAGUGACUUGAGCAGAUCUCAAGAUUACCCAGUAGAGCUCCCUUACAUUAGUGAAGCACUUUAGAGCAUAAAACAUCUUUUUCUCAUUCCCCACUGCAAGUUUUGUAACAAACACAAACAAAUGUCUGGGGCUGCCACAAACAAACGUCUGAGGCUACUAAAAACCAGGAGAGACAAGAAAGGAUCCUCCCCUACAAGCUCCCAAGGAAUCUUGACCCUGCCAGUACUUUGAUUUUUAUCUUCUGACCUACAGAAUGCAGCACAUCAUGAGCUAUAUCCCUCGCUCUUUUUGUUUUUUACUUUGAGAGGUGGUCUCACAGAGUUGCCAAGGGGGAUCUCUAAUUUACAAUCCUCUUGCCUCUGCCUCCAGAGUAGCUGGGAUUACACAUGUGUACCAUCACACCUGGUUUAUUAAUUUUUUUUAAAGGUGAAUUUAAAGUGUUUUGAAGACAGUACAAUAUUAGUCACCUUUGCAUCAUCAAAACAAAAUAAUGGAUAUGACUAUGAAAUGAAGAGAAUAUAAUUUUGGCUCAUAGACUAUGAAAUGAAGAGAAUAUAAUUUUUGCUCACAUUUCUAGAGGUCUGAUCCAAAUCAGGCAGCACCAUUGCUUUGGGACUUUGAUAAGGACAGCACAUCAUGGCAGGGGUAUGUGUCAGAGCAAGCCAUCCCAUUCCAAGCCUGGAACAGAGGGAGAUGGAGAGACUAAAGUCUCACAAUCCCCUUCAAGGACACACAUCCAAGGACCUAAGGACCUCCCACUAGGCUCCACCUCUUUAAGGUCCACAGUGCCUCUCUGAAGACCAAGAUUUUAUAGAAGGAUGUUUGGAGAGCAAUUACCAAAUCACAGCAAAGCCCAGGAGGGCCUAAGUCUCCAAGAAGGACAAGACCGGUGCAGAAGGACUUGUAUAGACUCAGCCUGAUGAUCAGAUAACAGAUGAGGAAUGUGGAUGUUCCAGAAGCUGCCAGCAUAUUCUGGACCAAAGGCUAGUCAAGAUGGUUUAUAUUUUAGGGAAUAAAAAGAGCAGGAGUCUGUCUUCCUAUGGAAAUGACAAUUAGGCAAUCAUAGGCUGAGAACUCUCCAGGGAGGGUACAAAGGAAGGACUGACUUGAGCAAACUUAAAACUGAAAUGACCGGGAAGCACAUUCAAAUGCCUGGAUCUGCCUGGAAUUGACUAUUUUGUUGUUGUUGUUGUUGUUAUUUGAAUCUAGCCAGGAGUCAAAAUAGGAGUUCAAUGUUUAAAUUAUGGCCUAGUAUGGUGGUGCACACCUGAAAUUCAAGCUACUUGGGAGGCUAAGGCUGGAGGAUCACAAGCUGAAGGCUGGCUUUAGCAACUUAAUGAGAUUCUGCCUCAAAAUAAAAAAAUAAAAAGGGCUGGGGGUGUCUUUCAGUGAUGAAAGGCCUUAGACUCAAUCUCCAAUACUGAAAAAAAAAGUUAAAUUACAGGAAAAAAAUUAGAUUUAGGGGGCAAAUACCCAAGGUUAUAGCCUGGGAAAUAUUACACUCUAACGUAUAAGAUUUGGCUUAGUCCUCUCAACCACACCUACAAGAUCAGUAUCAUCCCCAUUUUACAAAAGGGAAAAUCAAGUUCUAGAGAAUUUCAAUGACUUACUAUUAUACAACUUCUCAGUGGUAGAGCUGGGAUUUAAAUCUAGGUGCAUCUAGACUCCAAAGCUGAUGUUUCUUCAAGACUCCAAAUUCCCUUUUGAUCAGGGUUUGUUUCAGCAUUUCUAGAGAAGUCCACACAUCUAUGAUUGGUUUUUCAGGACCAGAUUAUGCUCCUGGAUUGAGGAUAACAGUCAGAAAGGGGAGAAAUUGGAGAAAUUUAAAGAAUCUCUGUCUCCCUUCUGAAAGAAGGGCCUCUUUUCUAACUGGUUCCCUCUCCCUUCAACAUGAUCUCCCACUCCACUCUUAUUCCAGCCAACCUGCAUUUUGGGGAACCUGAUUCAAAAUGGUUUGAGUUGACAGGAUGGCCACACUUCAUGCAACAGGUUGUCUGCUGUUCCUAGAAUUUGCUGAAGAGACGAUGAUGAUCUGGAUGUGCCUCAAUGGUAAUUUUCCUUGAAGGUGAAUGACAGAUAAGGUCUUAGUCAUUCUCCUAAUUUAUGAUGGAUUAUAUCAUUUCUUUAUAUUUCAACCUUCUAUGCUUGAGUCACUCAGACAUGUCUCUAGGACUAGACUCAAAAGCAAGUCUCCUCUUAGUCACAGGCUGUUCUCUCAGCUUGACUUCAAAUCCAAAGGUUCUGCUCCUGAUCAGUUCUGUGGCAAAAAUGUAUAGAUGGCUUAUAUAAAAAUAAAAAGGAUGACUGAGACCAUGGAAACUGGAUAUCUUUGACCUAAUUAUGGUUAUUAAUAGGAGGACUUUGUGUUUGCCAAACAUUUCCUUUCCCUCAUUCUCCAGAGGCUGUGAGUUCAUCUUCUCUGUCUCCAUGUUUUGGUCUAUUAUCUUGCCCUGCAGGAGCCUUAACUCAUUGUCACUUGCCCCAUUCCUGUACCUUCUGUUCCAAAUGAAUGGAUCUUCAUGGGCUGAUUAUCUAUAUUUUUGUUCUAUUAAUUCUUUAGAGAGGAAUUUUAAAAUCUCAAACUAUAAUUGUGGAUUUUUCUAUAACUCCUUGUACUUCUAUCAGUUUUCAAUUCAUGUAUUUUGGGUUUUUUUAAUAUUUAUUUUUUAGGUGUAGAUGGACACAACACAAUGUCUUUAUUUUUAUGUGGUGCUGAGGAUCAAACCCGGGUCCCGCCUGUGCUAGGCAAGCGCUCUACCACUGAGCCAUAAUCCCAGCCCCAACUUCAUGUAUUUUGAAUAAGUUGUGAGGUGUAUAAAUAAUUAGAAUUAUUAUGUCAUCUUGAUGAGUUGACCCCUUGUCAUUAUGAAAUUACCCUCUUUAUCCAUAGUAAUAUUCUUUGCUCUAAAAUCUUCUUUACUUGGUAUUAAUGUAACCACUUCAGUUUUCUUUUGACCAGCAUUAGCAUUGUAGAUCUUCUCAUCCCUUUACUUCUAACAUAUUUGUGUUUUUUUUGUUUAAAAUGGAUUUCUUGUAGAUGACACAUAAUUGAACUUUUAAAAAUUCAACAUGGCAAUAUCUGCUUUAAUUUAAUUCAUUUACACUUAUUGUGAUUAUUGAUAUGGUUGGCUUUUUUGGAGUACCAGGGAUUGAACUCAGGGGCACUAGACCACUGAGCCACAUCCCCAGUUCUAUUUUGUAUUUUAUUUGGAGACAGGGUCUCAAUGAGUUGCUUAGCACCUUGCUUUUACUGAGGCUGACUUUGAUUUUGGAUCUUCUUGCCUCAGCCUCCUGAGCCACUGGGAUUAUAGGCAUGCACCACUGCGCCCGGGUGAUAUGGUUGGCUUUUAAUCUGUUAUUUUGCUAUGUGCUUUCUUUUUUCCUAUCUUGUGUGCAUGAGUGUGUGGGCGUGUGUGUGUGUGUGUGUGUGUGUGUGUGUAUGUGUGGUACUAGGGAUUGAACCCAAGGCCUUGCACAUACAACCACUGCACUAAAUCCCCAAUCCUUUUUAUUCUUAUUUUGAGACAGGAUCUUACUAAGUUGUCCAAGCUGGCUUUGAACGUGGAAUCCUCCUGUUUCAGCCUCCCAAGUAGCUCAGAUUACAAGUGUGCACCACCUAACCAGGACUUCUUAUCUAUUGAUAAUCAUUUUUCUUUGUUGUUAUUUCUGUUUUUUAACUAGGUGGGUAUUUUUCAUGAUUAUCUCUUUCUAGAGAACCUGGCCUGAGAUGAUUAUAAAGCAAAUGACCAAGGGGGGCAACUAACUGGAGCUUAAUCCCACUAGAAAACCUGAGGAAGCGUGUAGAGCAAUGCCUCAGAAUUAUCUUCUCCAGGGAGCAGGGGAGCUGUAUAUGUAUCCAACAACUCCCAUCCAGUCUUUGGUGAGGAAUGUUAAAUCCCAGCCUUUUGGGCCUGCCCCAGAUGACAAUAGAGCAUCUCCACCUGUCAAAGAGCAGUGUAGAGCCAGGCCUGUGAGAGGGAGAGGAUGAGUGCUAAGAAGAUAUAUGUGGGUGAGACACCAAGAGGAAGCACAGAACAGAAUGGUGAACAGCAGUAAAAAUGGAUGAACUAUUGGCAUCAAUAUGGAUCAAUCUCACCCAAACAAUAUUGAAUAAAACAAGCAAGUUGUAAAAGAAUAUAAAUGAUGAGCAUAGUAUAAAUCAUAGAAAAAAAUGAAUCAUGCAAAACAAGAAUAAAUCUGAGAGAGAGAGAGUAGAAAAACAUGAUGAACAGUAAAUUUAGGAGAGUCAUAACCACCAACAAAGAGGGAGGAAUGGGAACAGUUUGGAGUACACAUAGGAGGCCUUUCCUGUAUUUUAAAUGUUUUAUUUUUCUAUACUGAGUAGAAAGUACACAAAUGACCAGACCAUUUUAUUAUAUUCUGGAAUUUUUUUUGUAUGCUUAAAACUUUUCAAAAUAAAAAUGGUAAUGAACAAGAAAAAUCUUAUUAAAGGAGUCCAAAUGAUCUGAAAGAAAUGGGUACAGGCCAUUAGGAAGAAAAUUAAUUGUUUUGCUUUGCUUUUAACUAAAACUAGCAUGAAAGGGGUACAAGAAAAUGUAAUCAGAGAGAAAGAGAGAGAAACAAUAGGAGCUACAACCAGAGUUGAAAUACUUUCAACUUCGCAUUUUUCUUAUUCUUUGAGUUUUUAAACUCAAUCAGGCACUGUUUUUGUUUGUUUUAAUUCCAGCCACUGCUUUUAAAAAAAAUAAAAACAUCUGUAAUUUCAUUGAUCUAACACUACUAUUUCCAUUUUCACUAAUUCCUUUCUGAACUUAACCCACAUGCCAACAUUCUUUGCUUAGUUCCAAUUAUAUUGCAUUUGUAUUUAAUACUUCGCUUUUUUAUACUCAUUCAUAUAUACU